rnacentral:piRNA from 1 species
UAUUUCUGGAUGCAACUGUCAGCUGAUUAU